rnacentral:lncRNA from 1 species
GCCCAGCUCUAAAAUUUGCCGACGCCCUGGCCUUCCUGCCAUGGUAGUGAAACAUCUGACUAUGUGCACGUGUGUUCAGGACAGCCAUGCAGCUAUGAGGAUGCUGCAUGCAGAAGGAGCCACCCCAGAACCACACCUGACCAUCUUGAGAAUUUGUAGCUUCCCAGGUAGGAAGCGGCCAGUGCAGCAUCUCCUAAAGUAUAUUCUGUAGGAUAUUAAUAGUCAGUAGGUGAAAAUGUCACACUCAGCAAGUUUGGGAACAGAACACAAAGCUAAGAAAAUUAAACUAGCUUAGACUUUUUUGUUGCUUCUAACUGGAGCCCAUUUCAGGGUUCCCUACACUAGUGAGUGUCAGCACUCCUAACAGAAGGCAGAAUACACUGGGACCCAAACUUGUUUGACCAUGAAACCCAUUGGCCUCUGAGAAAUUUCUAGGAUGAGUGCUCUAUAGCACUCAACCAUUCCACCAGUUAGCCAUAUAUUCAGCUAGUAUGUAUUGAAUGAGAGCUCACAGUCUAGAGGAGGAGACAUACACACACACACACACACACACCCAUCAGUGUUAGUUACAAAUUGUAAUUACUCCUAUGGAGGAGAACAGUCUGCCCUCUAUCCAUGGGUUCCAUAUCCACAGACUCAACCAAGCAUGAAUUUAAAAAAAAAAAAAAAAUUUUAAUGGGAUCUGUACUGAUCUCAUCCAGACUAUUUCAUCAUUCCCUAAAAUAUAUAGCAUAACUACUAUUCACAUAGCAUCUACAUUAUAUUAGGUAUUAUAAGAAAGCUAGAGAUGAUUUUAAGAUAGGGGAGGAACAUACAGGUAAUAUGCAAAUACCACACUGUUUUAUACGAGGAACUUGAGCAUCUGCAGAUUUAGAUGUCUUGCUUGUGGUCCUGGACCCAGUCCCCCAUGGAUACAAAGGGACCACUGUACUCAAAACUAUAAAAAGCGGUCUAAUUUAGAUUUUGAGAUCAAGAGAGAUCUCUAGCAAACUGACAUUUUAAAAAUAACACGUGAUACCUGGAGCCUCGCAAUGGAAGAGCCCGCCAUAUGAAGGCACAGCCUGAGGGAGUGUCCCAAGACAGGAGAAGGCGGCUUGGUUCUCUGGAGGAAACAGCAAAACGAGUACCCGGGAAGAAGGGGUAUCAGAUCACAAUUCGAAGAAGUACAGAUUUUUAUAAUAAGAAAAAUGGGGAGAAGUUACACUUAAAACCUUCCCACUGUGCCGGGACCCUAAGAAAGUCCAUGUGAAUAGUCUGGGACUGUCCUUCUCGUCUCCAGACCAUGGUCAUGGCCGAACAGCAAAGGAGACCAGGAGAGGAGAUGGGGCUUCUGCUCCGCCCACAGCCCCAACCUGGUCUCAGUGACAUACUCCACCUCCCCUGAGGCUACAGAGAUGGCAGCAGCUUCAAGGCCAUCCCUGACCCCCUGUCCCCAACAUAUUGUCCUCUGAGAAGAGCUAAGGGAACCCGAGAGACUGGUUGAAGCAUGUGAAACAAAGGAAAGAAGAAGAUCACCAGGACAGAACUUGAUCCAUGGGGACCAGUGCCUCCAACCUCCUCAGUGAGAAGGAGGAUCCCUGCUCCAUCCCCACGUGGAUCCCAUGGCCGGCUAAUGUGUAGGAUAAAGCACAGCGGUCCUGGGGGAUCCUCAGGGAGUUGGCUCCAGGACCACCUUCAGGUACCCAAAUCUGCAAAGGCUCAAGUUCCUGAUAUAAAAUGGCCUAGUAUUUGCAUAUAACCUUACAUACAUCCUCCCUAUGCUUUAAAUCAUUUCUAGAUUACUUAUAAUGUAAACAUUAUACAAAUAAUUGUUAUGUUCUAUUGUUUAGGGAAUGACAAGGAAAAAAAAGUCUCUACAUGUGCAGUAUGGAUGCAAUUUUUUUCCCUGAAUAUUUUCAACCAGCCGUUGGUUGAAUCUAUGGGUGCAGAACCCACAGACAGGGAUGGCUGACUGUUAGCCUCCUGGAUAUGGAACAACAGUUUCAUUUUCCAAGUUCAUGCUAAUUACUAAUCAGCAUUAUUUAUAAUCUUUAUAAUGCCUACCACAUUAUAUAAAGCCUACCAAACGGGGGUCACUUACCUUUCAGAGUACCUUGUGAAGUAUCUUUCAUAGGUAGGUUUAUUAUUUUUACUUGGAGUUUUGAAUACCAGAAAUAUCCUUGGAAAUCCCUACUUGAGAGCUCCUUGGCUGGAAACCAGUUCAGUGGGUGCCUGUCCCAGAGGAUGCUUCUCCUUUGUGGCCCCCACAGCCUGAGCAGUCUGUAUUCUUGCCUCAGCGCCCCUAAAUCUUCGCCACAUGCUCAUGGGCACUGGCUUUGAUGCUGGCAUUUGAAGCAGCACUUAGGAAAUUCUGAGAGGCCCCGAUGAUUAAGAUAAAUAACAUUUGUCAAUGAAA